CUCUGCUUCCCAUUUUAUCCGCAAUGAAAGUAAAAAAUUACUUUACUUUCCUUUCUUCAUUCCUUCAGUCCAAGAAACCCACAGUCUUUAGUUUCUGCACUCGGCUUUUCUAUUUUUCUUCAUUCCCCAGAAAACCCACACACAAUCUCAUUAAGAAAAAAAAAAAUCCAUGCUCCAUAUCCUUGCAUCUCUUACCUCUUCUCUUGCAAACAUAUGAAAGACUAAGGAAAAAUUGCGUUUGAGGUGAGCGGUAGUUUUGCAGAGGAGCUUCACUUGGAAAGUUUGCAGCAUCAAAUACAAAGUGAUCUUAUGCCAAGUGCUCGAUGUGACCAAAGUGAUUCUUAUGGUAUCCUUUUAGUUAUAUGUUCUAUGGCGAAUUAUAUAAGUUAACUUCUUCUUUUUUUGUUUACAAUUAGUUAAUAUUUAAAAAAGAUGUUAUACCUGCUAUAUGGACCAUGAGGUAUACUAUCUAUGUUGUUUAGUUUGCCUUAAUUUCUUUCUGUUUAGUUUUCAGCCAAGGUUGGAAUUUCUUAGGCUUGGCUGGUGCAACAUUAUUAAUUUUCAAGUUGAUUACAAAUAUGUAGUUGGGGAUAGGAUAGUGGCAAGGGAUUGGAAUGAGCUAGGGGUGACAAACUGUGGAAAUGAGACAAAACUCCCUAAGUGGAUCAGUUAUCGAGGUGGAUUGCCCAAGGCAUUAUAUGUGGUGAAAGAUGUAUUAACUGGAAUGAGAAAACAUGUUCAUCUGCUGGACAUAACAACUUUAUCACAACUCAGAAAAGAUGCACAUCCUGGCUUUUAUAAUGGCUUUAGGCGUAUGGACUGUAACCAUUGGUGUAUUGCUGGACUUCCAGA